rnacentral:rRNA from 1 species
UACGGGGGGGGCAAGCGUUGUUCGGAAUUACUGGGCGUAAAGGGCUCGUAGGCGGCCAACUAAGUCAGACGUGAAAUCCCUCGGCUUAACCGGGGAACUGCGUCUGAUACUGGAUGGCUUGAGAUUGGGAGAGGGAUGCGGAAUUCCAGGUGUAGCGGUGAAAUGCGUAGAUAUCUGGAGGAACACCGGUGGCGAAGGCGGCAUCCUGGGCCAACACUGACGCUGAGGAGCGAAAGCCAGGGGAGCAAACGGG